rfam:Canis lupus familiaris chromosome 4, whole genome shotgun sequence.
AAUUGCUGAUCUAUUUUUCACUUGGAAUUGCAAGGAUACAGAGAAGAUUAGCAUGGCCCCUGUGCAAGGAUGACAUGCAAAUUCAUGAAGGGUUCCAUACUUCU